rnacentral:rRNA from 1 species
UACAGAGGGGGCAAGCGUUGUUCGGAAUUACUGGGCGUAAAGGGCGCGUAGGCGGCCUUCUAAGUCGAACGUGAAAUCCCCGGGCUCAACCCGGGAACUGCGUCCGAUACUGGAAGGCUUGAAUCCGGGAGAGGGAUGUGGAAUUCCAGGUGUAGCGGUGAAAUGCGUAGAUAUCUGGAGGAACACCGGUGGCGAAGGCAGCUCUCUGGGACGGUACUGACGCUGAGACGCGAAAGCGUGGGGAGCGAACAGG